rnacentral:rRNA from 1 species
UCCUACGGGAGGCAGCAGUGGGGAAUAUUGGACAAUGGGCGAAAGCCUGAUCCAGCAAUGCCGCGUGUGUGAAGAAGGCCUUCGGGUUGUAAAGCACUUUUAUCAGGAACGAAAUCUGCAUGGUUAAUACCCGUGUAGUCUGACGGUACCUGAGAAUAGC